rnacentral:rRNA from 1 species
GAUGAACGCUGGCGGCGUGCCUAAUACAUGCAAGUCGAGCGAACAGACGAAGAGCUUGCUCCUCUGACGUUAGCGGCGGACGGGUGAGUAACACGUGGAUAACCUACCUAUAAGACUGGGAUAACUUCGGGAAACCGGAGCUAAUACCGGAUAAUAUAUUGAACCGCAUGGUUCAAUAGUGAAAGACGGUUUUGCUGUCACUUAUAGAUGGAUCCGCGCCGCAUUAGCUAGUUGGUAAGGUAACGGCUUACCAAGGCAACGAUGCGUAGCCGACCGGAGAGGGUGAUCGGCCACACUGGAACUGAGACACGGUCCAGACUCCUACGGGAGGCAGCAGUAGGGAAUCUUCCGCAAUGGGCGAAAGCCUGACGGAGCAACGCCGCGUGAGUGAUGAAGGUCUUCGGAUCGUAAAACUCUGUUAUUAGGGAAGAACAAAUGUGUAAGUAACUAUGCACGUCUUGACGGUACCUAAUCAGAAAGCCACGGCUAACUACGUG